rnacentral:rRNA from 1 species
UACGUAGGGUGCAAGCGUUGUCCGGAAUUAUUGGGCGUAAAGAGCUCGUAGGCGGUUUGUCGCGUCUGCUGUGAAAACUCGGGGCUUAACCCCGGGCCUGCAGUGGGUACGGGCAGACUAGAGUGCGGUAGGGGAGACUGGAAUUCCUGGUGUAGCGGUGAAAUGCGCAGAUAUCAGGAGGAACACCGGUGGCGAAGGCGGGUCUCUGGACCGUAACUGACGCUGAGGAGCGAAAGCAUGGGGAGCGAACAGG